rnacentral:rRNA from 1 species
CGAUACAUAGGGGGACUGAGAGGUUAACCCCCCACACUGGUACUGAGACACGGACCAGACUCCUACGGGAGGCAGCAGUGAGGAAUAUUGGUCAAUGGACGCAAGUCUGAACCAGCCAUGCCGCGUGCAGGAUGACGGCUCUAUGAGUUGUAAACUGCUUUUGUACGAGGGUAAACGCAGAUACGUGUAUCUGUCUGAAAGUAUCGUACGAAUAAGGAUCGGCUAACUCCGUGCCAGCAGCCGCGGUAAUACGGAGGAUUCAAGCGUUAUCCGGAUUUAUUGGGUUUAAAGGGUGCGUAGGCGGUUUGAUAAGUUAGAGGUGAAAUCCCGGGGCUUAACUCCGGAACUGCCUCUAAUACUGUUGGACUAGAGAGUAGUUGCGGUAGGCGGAAUGUAUGGUGUAGCGGUGAAAUGCUUAGAGAUCAUACAGAACACCGAUUGCGAAGGCAGCUUACCAAACUAUAUCUGACGUUGAGGCACGAAAGCGUGGGGAGCAAACAGGAUUAGAUACCCUGGUAGUCCACGCAGUAAACGAUGAUAACUCGUUGUCGGCGAUACACAGUCGGUGACUAAGCGAAAGCGAUAAGUUAUCCACCUGGGGAGUACGUUCGCAAGAAUGAAACUCAAAGGAAUUGACGGGGGCCCGCACAAGCGGAGGAACAUGUGGUUUAAUUCGAUGAUACGCGAGGAACCUUACCCGGGCUUGAAAGUUAGUGACGAUUCUUGAAAGAGGAUUUCCCUUCGGGGCGCGAAACUAGGUGCUGCAUGGUUGUCGUCAGCUCGUGCCGUGAGGUGUCGGGUUAAGUCCCAUAACGAGCGCAACCCCUACCGUUAGUUGCCAUCAGGUCAAGCUGGGCACUCUGGCGGGACUGCCGGUGUAAGCCGAGAGGAAGGUGGGGAUGACGUCAAAUCAGCACGGCCCUUACGUCCGGGGCUACACA